CUGCUGAGAGUCAUCAUGGCCUCCCAGGCCCACCGGCUCCUCUGCCUUCUGCUUGGGCUUCAGGGCUGUCUGGCUGCAGUCUUCAUCUCCCCGGAGGAGGCUCACGGCGUCCUGCGCAGGCACCGGCGCGCCUACGGGUUCCUGGAGGAGCUCCGGCCGGGCUCCCUGGAGCGGGAGUGCAAGGAGGAGCAGUGCUCCUUCGAGGAGGCCCGGGAGAUCUUCAGGGACACGGAGAGGACGAAGCUCUUCUGGAUUUCUUACAGUGAUGGGGACCAGUGUGCCUCGAGUCCGUGCCAGAACGGGGGUUCCUGCGAGGACCAGUUCCAGUCCUAUAUCUGCUUCUGUCUCCUUGGCUUCGAAGGCCGGAACUGUGAGACAAACAAGGACGACCAGCUGAUCUGCAUAAAUGAGAAUGGCGGCUGUGAGCAGUACUGCAGCGACCACGCGGGCACCAGGCGCUCCUGUCGGUGCCACGAGGGAUACUCGCUGCUGGCAGAUGGCGUGUCCUGCAUGCCCACAGUUGAAUAUCCAUGUGGAAAAAUACCUAUUCUAGAAAAAAGAAAUGCCAGCAUCCCCCAAGGCCGAAUUGUGGGGGGCAGGGUGUGCCCCAAAGGGGAGUGUCCGUGGCAGGUACUACUGGUGCAGAAUGGAGCUAUGUUUUGUGGGGGGACCCUGAUCGACACCAGCUGGGUGGUCUCCGCGGCUCACUGUUUUGACAAAAUCAAGAACUGGAGGAACAUAAGCGCAGUGCUGGGUGAGCACGACCUCAGCGAGCACGAUGGUGAUGAGCAGAGCCAGCGGGUGGCGCAGGUCAUCAUCCCCAGCACGUAUGUCCGGGGCACCACCAAUCAUGACAUUGCACUGCUCCGCCUGCACCAGCCUGUGGUCCUCACUGACCAUGUGGUGCCCCUCUGCCUGCCUGAGCGGACAUUCUCUGAGAUGACGCUGGCCUACGUGCGCUUCUCGUUGGUCAGCGGCUGGGGUCAGCUGCUGGACCGUGGCGCCAAGGCCCUGGAGCUCAUGGCCAUCAGCGUGCCCCGGCUGAUGACCCAGGACUGCCUGGAGCAGUCGGAGAAGACGGGAGGCUCCCCGAAUGUCACGGAGUACAUGUUCUGCGCCGGCUACCGGGAUGGCAGCAAGGACUCCUGCAAGGGGGACAGUGGAGGUCCACAUGCAACCCGCUACCGGGGCACGUGGUACCUGACAGGUGUCGUCAGCUGGGGCCAGGGCUGCGCAGCUGUAGGCCAUUUUGGAGUGUACACCAGGGUCUCCCAGUACACCGAGUGGCUGCACAACCUCAUGCACUCAGAACCACACCCAGGCAUCCUCUGGCGAGCCGCAUUUCCCUAACCCAGCAGCCCUGCCCCACGGAGAGAAAGCUGGGGCUGUGUAGAGCUGUCCUGGCACCAAACCCCAUUGAUUCUUCGGCAGUUCAUGGGGUAGAGGAAGGUUUGGGAGGGAGGGAGGGGUGGGGAGACAGAGACAGAAAGAAAACUGAGGGAGACAUUCUGAGGACAUGGAGAGACUCAAAGAGACUAAUAAAGACACAGACAGGGCAUAGAAAGAUGAGAGGCAGAGGCAGACAGGCGCUAGAUGGAGAACGGGAGUGCUAUGGCUGUCCUGGAGGCAGGCGGCCCAGCUAAACCUUGUCUCCCUUCAGCCAAGCCCACCUGCACGUGAUCUGCUGGCCUCAGGCUGCUGCUGUGCCUUCACUGCUGGAGACAGUAGAGUUUUCAGCAUCACUGAAAUGACUCUUCACACGGAAGCUGUUU